UGCAAAUGAUGUUUGUUCUCACGAUGGUCUUCCAAGCCUCAUGAAGAGACUUUGACGAUACUGCCAAAUGGCUUUGCUGAUGCUACAGA